GAUGGGUUCUCUGCCUGCCUUCAAGGCUUCCUGGCUGCGCAUGCAGCCUAUGAGAGAUUUCCCCACCUGCCAUGUUUUCGUGGUGCAUCAGGCAGCCUCUGCUCCUCGUGUGUGUCCUAAUUCACAGCCACAGGCAUUUGCUGCACGCACGUCCCCGUGUUCUGCCCGAAAUCUACUGCUUCCCUCAUCCCGCGGUGCUCGCUUGGUUGUAGCAGUGAACUGGGCUUUGCAGCUCAGCGGUAAGAGAACGUUUUCCUAAUUUGAGGCAUGCCCAAGCUGUUGCCUGCAGAUGUAGCCUCACCACAUUUGCUCACAGCCGGUGCCUCGAAGAGGAAAGGCAACGCCUCUGCCAGCUGCCGAGGAGGCAGACGCAUUCCUGGGAAGCCAGCUCCGGAUGGCCUGCAGGCUCCUGUGAGCAUUCUGAGUAGAUCCUGGCUCCAGUGCCUGUGGUCCUGGCAGCAGUGCCUUAGCUGGCUUCCUGCCUAGGAUGACCACAGACCAUGCUCCUCCCAUCCUGGGCCUCUGAGCACUGGUCCAGGCAAGAUGAGCUCCUUCGAGCUGGCUUGUGCCUUUCCCCUUCUAUCUUAAAAUAAUUGUUUUUGGCUUUGUGGGCUGGCAGGCUACUUACUUUAACCCCAAGGCCAAGGGCAGCAAGAGGCUCCGGUGAUGGGCUGGGCUGUCAUGCACACCACUCAGCCUUCAGUCACUGUGGCCAGUGCACUAAUGGCCACAUGGCCUUCAGAGAUAAUUUCUGCAUGUUCUUUCCUCUUUCCCUCUGCUCUUGCAGGGAAGGGAGCAUGCGCUUUGGGCUGCUCCCAUGUAACCUCUUUUCCUCCACGAUGGAUAGAGGCUCUGCUCACACGCAUGGAUUCCUUGUUGGUUUAGGGACCCCUGCCACAGCUCCUGGGGUGGGUGAAUCCUGUUUUAUUCAUGAAGUAAGGCUGCCAGUUGUUCAGAAUUCUAUUUGGGCCCAUGUUUACCACACGCCCAGGCUCUGCCCAGGUUCCGGGGAAGUAUUGAUGAAAAUUUGGGACUUGCUGCUCCAAGUCACUCUGACAUGCAGAUCUCAUGCUCAUGGGGUGAAACCCGUUGGCCACUGACAAAAUAGGAGCCAAUAAAAGGUUGUUUCUUUUUUGCUAUUUUACUAAGACAAGAUUUUGCUAGGUAGCUGUGUUAGUUAGGGUUUUAUUAUUGUGAAGAGAUACCAUGACCAGGGCAACUCUUAUAAGCAUUCAACUGGGGUUGGCUUACAGUUUCAGAGCCACAUAAACAUGAGGGCUUGAAUUGGAACCCCAAGGACCCAUGUCCAGCUGGGCAUGGUGGCAUUUUUUUUUAAUGUUUAAACAGUUAAUAAAUUAUUUGUUUAAAUAUG
rnacentral:lncRNA from 1 species